UACUAAGAGAAUAUUAAAUAUAUUCAUUAAUAAUGCUUAAAACUAUUGCAUAAAUUCUGCCAUCUUAGU
rnacentral:tRNA from 1 species